UGGGGAAUUUUCCGCAAUGGGGGAAAGCCUGACGGAGCAAUACCGCGUGAGGGAUGACGGCCUAUGGGUUGUAAACCUCUUUUUUCAGGGAGGAAUAAAUGACGUGUACCUGAAGAAUAAGCAUCGGCUAACUCCGUGCCAGCAGCCGCGGUAAGACGGAGGAUGCAAGUGUUAUCCGGAAUCACUGGGCGUAAAGCGUCUGUAGGUGGUUUAAUAAGUCAACUGUUAAAUCUUAAGGCUCAACCUUGAAAUCGCAGUCGAAACUAUUAGACUAGAGUAUAGUAGGGGUAAAGGGAAUUUCCAGUGGAGCGGUGAAAUGCGUAGAUAUUGGAAAGAACACCCAUGGCGAAGGCCCUUUACUGGGCUAUUACUAACACUCAAAGACGAAAGCUAGGGUAGCAGAUGGGAUUAGAUACCCCAGUAGUC
rnacentral:rRNA from 1 species